GCCAAAGCCUCUCGUGUGUCGAAACAGAAGUUGGAGACUUCCGGAAAGUGCAGAGGAAACGGUGGAACGAAAACGGAAAAACAGAAAACAAGAAGCAGCCCUUCCUGGGGACGCGGGUCCCCUAUUGCCCUCCCUGGUGGACGAAACCCGGGCCCGGGGCUUCUGCUCCGUCUACUCCUUCACUCAUCUAGAGACCCCUCCGAAACGAUUUCCAAGCAUGCUGCUGAAAAAGGAAGAAACUCCACCCAGGGUGGCACACCGCCUAGCCAAAAUGAAUACAGUCGAACCUUUUUAACUGUAGUUAAAGGGUGAUAUAUUGCUAUUUUUUCUCGUAUUGUUAUACUUUUGUAAUAAACAGUUUGAAGUAUUUGUCAAUGACUUCAUUUUAUCAGUAGUCUAAGCAAAUAAAACAUGUUCAUAUAUAUACUGAUAUACGACAUAAAACGAGGUGUGUAUCUACAUGUUAGACCAAAUCAAAUUAUCUCGGUCAGAGUGGUGUGAAAAAUAUGCAUCGAAUACACAAAUAUGCAUAUUUAAUUUUUAUAGACUAAAACCACGGACCUAACGGACCUAAGUCCGUGCUAAAAUUACCCAAAAUAAAUUUGGGAAGAUUUUCCUUCCCGCAUACAACAAGUUUACACUCAGUCUCUCUGGUAAGUGGCCGGUACCUCAAAGGUGACACUCCCCUUCCUUCCCACUAGCAUGGUUUAUAGGUGUUCCAGUAAUGCAUAAAAACUAGAUCUACUCUUUUUCCACUGUCAUCUCCAAAAAUUGAGUGCAAUGUCCAUAGUCUCAGGCAGAACUAUUUUCCUAUUUUUUUAGAAAAAAGUAAUAACGAAAAAGAGAGUGUAUGAUCGGACGGACGGACGGACGGACGGACCGACCGACCGACCGACGGGCGGGCGGACGGACGGACAUAAAGACAGACCCGGUAUGGCCACAACGAUGCAUGGCACACAUAUUUAAAGAAAAUAGAGCAGUUUUCAUGGCCUGGUGGUUAAGGCGUUCGCCAUCGGAGCGGGCGGUGAUGGGUUCGAUCCCUGGCCGUGUUAUACCGAAAGACGUUAAAAUUUGGUACAAGUAGCUCCUUUUCCUGGCGCUAGGCAUUUAAAGGAUACAGCGUGGAAACGGUCUCUUCAUUGAAAAGGGGCUAGGGUAUCGCACCCGGACUUCCCUGUAUCCCACCAGUGUCACUUCCGCGUGCUGUCCCUUCAGCAAAAACAAAGG